UCCUGAUAGCAGCGGUGUCGAGAGACGGU
rnacentral:piRNA from 1 species